AUGCUGGAGAGAAGGCACUGGAAUGUUUCUGAAUCAAACCAUUGUGUACUUUGUCCAACACACACCAAAGAGGAUAGAGAUCACCUAUUCUUUCAAUGUAAUUUCAGUUGUAGGGUCUGGAAUUAUCUUCAAAUCAACUGGAUGGCUGGAGAUGAUAUGGUUGCCAUUGCCUAUCAUGCUAGAAGGGAUUUUGCUAAGCCUUUCUUCUCUGAGGUGGUUUUCCUGGCAUGCUGGAACAUCUGGAAUGUCAGGAAUGAUAGGGUUUUUAGGAAUGUUACACCCUCUUUUCGUAGAUGGAGGUCUUCUUUUAUUCUAGACAUUUCCCUUUUGGUUCAUAGAAUUAAGCCUAAGUUCGAAGAGGACCUGCUUAGAUGGAUUUCCUUUUUGCCACCUUGA
rnacentral:rRNA from 1 species